AUGACGAAGCACCAGCGAGCUGCAGCACACCAGGCCGUGUCACUCUCCCUCUCGCUCUCCCUCGGCGCCGUCGCCGGCCUCAACAAGAAGAUGCGCCGCGCUGCCGCCGCAGCCGGUGGGGAUCAGUUCGUGUGCAAGACGUGCGGCCGCUCGUUCCCGUCGUUCCAGGCGCUCGGCGGCCACCGGACCAGCCACCUCCGCGGCCGCCACGGGCUCGCGCUCGCCCUCACCACCGGCGAUCACUACUACUCCGUCAAGCCCAAGAGUACAGCCGAUCACAAGUCUCAGCACCGGUGCCACAUCUGCGGCCAAGGGUUCGAGACGGGGCAGGCGCUCGGCGGCCACAUGCGCCGGCACCGUGACGAGGCGGCGGAGGCGCCGCCCGUUCUGCUCGAGCUCUUUGUCUAG
rnacentral:rRNA from 1 species